UACGUAGGGUCCGAGCGUUGUCCGGAAUUACUGGGCGUAAAGAGCUCGUAGGUGGUUUGUCGCGUUGUUCGUGAAAACUCACAGCUCAACUGUGGGCGUGCGGGCGAUACGGGCAGACUAGAGUACUGCAGGGGAGACUGGAAUUCCUGGUGUAGCGGUGAAAUGCGCAGAUAUCAGGAGGAACACCGGUGGCGAAGGCGGGUCUCUGGGCCGAAACUGACGCUGAGGAGCGAAAGCGUGGGGAGCAAACAGG
rnacentral:rRNA from 1 species